AUUGAACGCUAGCGGCAUGCCUUACACAUGCAAGUCGAACGGCAGCACGGGAGCAAUCCUGGUGGCGAGUGGCGAACGGGUGAGUAAUGCAUCGGAACGUGCCCUGGAGUGGGGGAUAGCUCGGCGAAAGCCGGAUUAAUACCGCAUACGACCUACGGGUGAAAGCGGGGGACCGAAAGGCCUCGCGCUCCAGGAUCGGCCGAUGUCAGAUUAGGUAGUUGGUGGGGUAAAGGCCUACCAAGCCUGCGAUCUGUAGCUGGUCUGAGAGGACGACCAGCCACACUGGGACUGAGACACGGCCCAGACUCCUACGGGAGGCAGCAGUGGGGAAUUUUGGACAAUGGGGGAAACCCUGAUCCAGCAAUGCCGCGUGCGGGAAGAAGGCCUUCGGGUUGUAAACCGCUUUGUUGGGAGCGAAACGGCGAUGGCUAAUACCCGUUGCUAAUGACGGUACCCAAAGAAUAAGCACCGGCUAACUACGUG
rnacentral:rRNA from 1 species